CAUUAAGCACUCCGGCUGGGGAGUACGGCCCGCAAGGCCGAAACUCAAAGGAAUUGAGGGGGGGCCGCACAAGCGGUGGAUCAUGUGGUUUAAUUUGAAGCAACGCGAAGAACUUUACCAGGUCUUGACAUCCUUUGAAAACCCUAGAGAUAGGGCUUCUCCUUCGGGAGCAGAGUGACAGGUGGUGCAUGGUUGUCGUCAGCUCGUGUCGUGAGAUGUUGGGUUAAGUCCCGCAACGAGCGCAACCCUUGAUCUUAGUUGCCAUCAUUAAGUUGGGCACUUUAAGGUGACUGCCGGUGACAAACCGGAGGAAGGUGGGGAUGACGUCAAAUCAUCAUGCCCCUUAUGACCUGGGCUACACACGUGCUACAAUGGACGGUACAAAGAGCUGCAAGACCGCGAGGUGGAGCUAAUCUCAUAAAACCGUUCUCAGUUCGGAUUGUAGGCUGCAACUCGCCUACAUGAAGCUGGAAUCGCUAGUAAUCGCGGAUCAGCAUGCCGCGGUGAAUACGUUCCCGGGCCUUGUACACACCGCCCGUCACACCACGAGAGUUUGUAACACCCGAAGUCGGUGGGAUAACCUUUUUGGAGCCAGCCGCCUAAGGUGGGACAGAUGAUUGGGGUGAAGUCGUAAACAAGGAGCCUUGAUGGCC
rnacentral:rRNA from 1 species